UGGAUCGAUGAUGACUACUGGUGGCGUAUGAGUCAUAGACAAUGAAUACGUGUCUGGAACUCUGAGGUCCAU
rnacentral:snoRNA from 10 species